AUUGAACACUGGCGGCAGGCCUAACACAUGCAAGUCGAACGGUAACAGGAAGAAGCUUGCUUCUUUGCUGACGAGUGGCGGACGGGUGAGUAAUGUCUGGGAAACUGCCUGAUGGAGGGGGAUAACUACUGGAAACGGCAGCUAAUACCGCAUAACGUCGCAUGACCAAAGAGGGGGACCUUCGGGCCUCUUGCCAUCGGAUGUGCCCAGAUGGGAUUAGCUAGUAGGUGGGGUAACGGCUCACCUAGGCGACGAUCCCUAGCUGGUCUGAGAGGAUGACCAGCCACACUGGAACUGAGACACGGUCCAGACUCCUACGGGAGGCAGCAGUGGGGAAUAUUGCACAAAGGGCGCAAGCCUGAUGCAGCCAUGCCGCGUGUAUGAAGAAGGCCUUCGGGUUGUAAAGUACUUUCAGCGGGGAGGAAGGGAGUAAAGUUAAUACCUUUGCUCAUUGACGUUACCCGCAGAAGAAGCACCGGCUAACUCCGUG
rnacentral:rRNA from 1 species